GAGCCCAGCCGAGCCGGCGGCCAUUGCGGCGGCAGGACACCCCCCACACCCCUCAGGGCCACCCUCCCGCCGCCAUCGCCCGCCCCGCGUUACCGAGCUGCUGCCGCGCGGCCAUGGCGCCGUCGGAGCACUGACAGGAGUUUCAUCCAUGGAAAGUCCUCCCUCAGAGCUUCCACACGGGCAGAGCCAAAACACCCGUUUACCAAGUCUGAGGAAUGAGGUCUCAUUGGAGCUUUUUCCUGGUGUUUUAAAGCACUACAGAAGCUCUUCCUGAGCCAAGAAUGCAGUAACAUCAUAUUGGAGAUAAUGGCAAGAGCGCCAUGGAUUCCCAGAAUGGUUUGGCUUGGAGGGGACCUCAAACUCAUCUCAUUCCAACCUCUGCACUCGGCAGGGGCACCUCCCACUAUCCCAGGUUGCUCCAAGCCCCGUCCAACCUGAGCUUGGACACUUCCACGGAUGCAGCCACAGCUCACAGGAAAUUGAAAUCACUGAUUCAUCGGUGUCUCCCGUGCCCCCAGCUCUUUGGACAUGAGUGUUUGUGUCCCUGGGUGGGAAUCUGUCCUGCCGGGAGAUCUGUGCUGCUUGAUCCCGCCGGAUCCUGCCGGGAUGCUGCCAAACGCGCAGGGAGCCGGCUCCCACUAGGGCGCGCUAGGACAGUUAAAAUGGAGCUGGUUUUCCGCUGGCAUCGGGGUGGAACCAUCAAAGAUCCUAUGUAAGGAACGGCACUUCUGGCUUUCAGCAGGGAUUCUGGCCGAGUUCCCCAUUUUUGAGUACAUUUCCCUGGAUGAGUGUGCAGCAAAGCCAGCUGUAGCUGCCUCAGAGCACUGAGGUUUGGGCUGGGACAAGUGCUGGCAAAAACCUGUUGGAAAGCCCUGGCCUGGACAGAGGGCAGGGAGAAGCUUUGUCCUCAAGGCUGUCUCAUCUCAGUCCCUUUGUUUGCUGCUCUGUAAGGCAGAGGGAGUGGAAAUCUCUGCACCACCUGGACAUGGACAGGAGUCCACCUCAAAGUCCCAUUGUUCUGCUGUUGUCAUUUGUACAUUUUGAAGCUACCCCUAAAAAAACCUUCCCAUCUUCACAGGAGAAUUCCCUGCCUCCACCCAGGCCCUGGGACCCCUGUCUGCUACCCUGGUUUGCUUCAUGUUUACUUAAUUAGCCAGCUGGAGCACGAUUCCUUUCAUGAUCCACGGUCUAAUACAUAAAGAUGACAGUGACACGAA